UCCAUCUGUCUGUGCAAGGAAGCUACCAUAGCAGCGCCAUUCCCAACUGUACAAUCAAGGUUCAUUCAUGGUGAUUUCGAAUUGCAAGAACGAGGAGCAUAAUUGAGCGAAACGGAGCUUCACAUCACUCUUCCUAUAGCCAAUACUGUAGCUGUUUUGCCAAAGCGCGCUCCAAUUCGUCCCGAGUUACAACUGCCAUUACAGGUUGGUGAAAAAUUCGAUCCCAAGCUUUCAAAGAAUUAAGGUGUGCGUGUUGUAGUGCAUAGUAUGUAGGUUAUCGUGCUGCUCUUAGAUUUGAAAAUGAUCAACUGUAGUGUGAGAAAUCUUAACUCGAAGUUAUGAUCCAAAACCCUAAGUUCGACGAUUCUUGAGAUUUAGGAAGUUUUAGGUUAAUUAGAGUUGAGAUUCAUGAUCUACACGUUUGUACGGUUCCAACGACUAUAAGUUUG
rnacentral:lncRNA from 1 species